ACGUCCAAGUCAGCGGAAAAAGUCACCCACAAAAGCGCUUCUAGCACAUAGCUUUUCCUGAAGAAAAAAAACAGAUAGAGCCAAAGACGUGAUUCUUUAUCGAUUUGGCCUCGUGUUCUCGCGUUCUCCACUUCGACUCCUGCCUUUAAGACUAUUGCUUCUGAACUCUAACAUUAUCGUCAUCAUGUCCUUGUCGUCUUAUUUGUGUCUGUGUUUUGGGAUUGACAGCAGCGUCGUAUUUGCAUGGCGCUCGUGAAAGGCGUCACGUUCUUCGUUCGGAUCAGAUCUGUUCAGUUCGACGCUGCGACGCAAACCGGUAUCAUAUCAAUAUUUUCCUUCCUCUUCAAUCCUUUUCCGCAUUUGUGUUCUUCUUCUUCUCUGACUUGCUUCUUCUUCUGUGUGCACAAGAGUCUUUGUUGCGGGUUUGGGGUGAUGCGUGAGGUUUUUCCAUGAGUUUUUGCGUGAGCUUGUUGAAAAAAUUGUACAGGUUGAGAGUGAAGGUUCUGUAGAGCAAAAGUGAAGACCGAAUUUGUGAACUGGAAAACGAGAGAAAUGCCUUCCCUGAAGGAGGUUGCAGGGAACUAUAUAUAUGAGAUUGGUCUGUUAGAUUUUGUUACCCUCCGAUAAUUCCUCUAGCAUUACUUUGUUGAACGUGUGCACUAUCAGAAAACUGUUUAAUAUUAGUUUGCUAGAUUUGUUAUCAUUCAGUUAAGCAGUUUUGAUUCAGUGCUUGUGUCAUCGGCUCAUGGUUUAGUCAUGUUAAUGAAAAUUGCAGGGUUAAUAACGUGUUAGACAAAAGGAACUUCAGUGCAAAACCAAAAUGAGGCAGUGCAGUGUUCUGAUUCUAUUAAAGCAAAAAGUCAGAUCCAGAUGCAGAUAGUUAAUCGGUUGUUAGUUCAGGGCUAUGCCGAUUAGAAGCUUGACUUAGAGAUGGAGUUGGUUUGAUUCAUUGGACUUGUUUAUUAUUUUUAUAAGAUUAUAAAUGGAAUGUAAUGCCUUAAGUAAUUAUUGAAUUAGAUUUGUUUGGCAAGCAUAUAUUGAAUGGUUUCAUGUAUAUGAAUUUUGUAUGCAUGAUUAAUCUAAUGGUAGAAAGAAUGAUUUUGGAAA